GAUGAACGCUGGCGGCGUGCCUAACACAUGCAAGUCGAACGGAGAUGAUAAAAGCUUGCUUUGAUCAUCUUAGUGGCGGACGGGUGAGUAACACGUGAGCAACCUGCCUUUCAGAGGGGGAUAACGUUUGGAAACGAACGCUAAUACCGCAUAAUGUGAAUUUGUCGCAUGACAGACUUGUCAAAGGAGCAAUCUGCUUAAAGAUGGGCUCAUAUCUGAUUAGGUAGUUGGAGGGGUAACGGCUCACCAAGCCUACGAUCAGUAGCCGGACUGAGAGGUUGAACGGCCACAUUGGAACUGAGAUACGGUCCAG
rnacentral:rRNA from 1 species